UAGAGUUUGAUCAUGGCUCAGAUUGAACGCUGGCGGCAGGCCUAACACAUGCAAGUCGAGCGGAAACGACACUAACAAUCCUUCGGGUGCGUUAAUGGGCGUCGAGCGGCGGACGGGUGAGUAAUGCCUAGGAAAUUGCCUUAUGUGGGGGAUAACCAUUGGAAACGAUGGCUAAUACCGCAUAAUGCCUACGGGCCAAAGAGGGGGACCUUCGGGCCUCUCGCGUCAAGAUAUGCCUAGGUGGGAUUAGCUAGUUGGUGAGGUAAUGGCUCACCAAGGCGACGAUCCCUAGCUGGUCUGAGAGGAUGAUCAGCCACACUGGAACUGAGACACGGUCCAGACUCCUACGGGAGGCAGCAGUGGGGAAUAUUGCACAAUGGGCGAAAGCCUGAUGCAGCCAUGCCGCGUGUAUGAAGAAGGCCUUCGGGUUGUAAAGUACUUUCAGUUGUGAGGAAGGGGGUAGCGUUAAUAGCGCUAUCUCUUGACGUUAGCAACAGAAGAAGCACCGGCUAACUCCGUGCCAGCAGCCGCGGUAAUACGGAGGGUGCGAGCGUUAAUCGGAAUUACUGGGCGUAAAGCGCAUGCAGGUGGUUCAUUAAGUCAGAUGUGAAAGCCCGGGGCUCAACCUCGGAACUGCAUUUGAAACUGGUGAACUAGAGUACUGUAGAGGGGGGUAGAAUUUCA
rnacentral:rRNA from 1 species